GACGAACGCUGGCGGCGUGCUUAACACAUGCAAGUCGAACGGAAAGGCCCUGCUUUUGUGGGGUGCUCGAGUGGCGAACGGGUGAGUAACACGUGAGUAACCUGCCCUUGACUUUGGGAUAACUUCAGGAAACUGGGGCUAAUACCGGAUAGGAGCUCCUGCUGCAUGGUGGGGGUUGGAAAGUUUCGGCGGUUGGGGAUGGACUCGCGGCUUAUCAGCUUGUUGGUGGGGUAGUGGCUUACCAAGGCUUUGACGGGUAGCCGGCCUGAGAGGGGGACCGGCCACAUUGGGACUGGGAUACGGCCCAGACUCCUACGGGAGGCAGCAGUGGGGAAUAUUGCACAAUGGGCGGAAGCCUGAUGCAGCAACGCCGCGUGCGGGAUGACGGCCUUCGGGUUGUAAACCGCUUUCGCCUGUGACGAAGCGUGAGUGACGGUAAUGGGUAAAGAAGCACCGGCUAACUACGUG
rnacentral:rRNA from 1 species